rnacentral:pre_miRNA from 1 species
CCUGGGUCUGUUUCAAGUAAUCCAGGAUAGGCUUGUUUAAGUGGGCACAGCCUAUUCGGGAUGACUUGGUUCAGGAACAAG